ACGGGAGGCAGCAGUGGGGAAUAUUGGUCAAUGGGGGCAACCCUGAACCAGCAACGCCGCGUGAGUGAAGAAGUAUUUCGGUAUGUAAAGCUCUAUCAGCAGGGAAGAUAAUGACAGUACCUGACUAAGAAGCACCGGCUAAAUACGUGCCAGCAGCCGCGGUAAUACGUAUGGUGCAAGCGUUAUCCGGAUUUACUGGGUGUAAAGGGAGCGUAGACGGCAUGGCAAGUCUGAAGUGAAAGCCUGGGGCUCAACCCCGGAACUGCUUUGGAAACUGUUAAGCUAGAGUGCAGGAGAGGUAAGUGGAAUUCCUAGUGUAGCGGUGAAAUGCGUAGAUAUUAGGAGGAACACCAGUGGCGAAGGCGGCUUACUGGACUGUAACUGACGUUGAGGCUCGAAAGCGUGGGGAGCAAACAGGAUUAGAUACCCUGGUA
rnacentral:rRNA from 1 species